UAGUCUGCAACCCGACUACAUGAAGCUGGAAUCGCUAGUAAUCGCGAAUCAGAAUGUCGCGGUGAAUACGUUCCCGGGUCUUGUACACACCGCCCGUCACACCAUGGGAGUCGGAAAUGCCCGAAGUCAGUGACCUAACCGAAAGGGAGGAGCUCGCCGAAGGUGGAGCCGGUAACUGGGUGAAGUCGUAACAAGGUAUC
rnacentral:rRNA from 1 species